rnacentral:rRNA from 1 species
UGCAAGUCGACGUGAAAGUCCUUCGGGAUGAGUAAAGUGGCGUACGGGUGAGUAACACGUAGGUAACCUACCUAAAAGUUUGGAAUAACUUGCCGAAAGGCGAGCUAAUACCAGAUAGAACGAUUUUAUCGGGAAAGGGAGGCCGUAAGGUCCCUCGCUUUUAGAUGGGCCUGCGUCUCAUUAGCUAGUUGGUAGGGUAAAAGCCUACCAAGGCGGCGAUGAGUAGCUGGUCUAAGAGGACGAUCAGCCACACUGGAACUGAAACACGGUCCAGACUCCUACGGGAGGCAGCAGUGGGGAAUAUUGCGCAAUGGACGAAAGUCUGACGCAGCAACGCCGUGUGAGUGAAGAAGGCUCUUGGGUUGUAAAGCUCUGUCGAUGGGGACGAAAAUAUGCCAGUUAAUAGCUGGUAGACUGACGGUACCCAUAAAGGAAGCACCGGCUAACUCUGUGCCAGCAGCCGCGGUAAUACAGAGGGUGCAAGCGUUGUUCGGAAUUAUUGGGCGUAAAGGGGAGGUAGGUGGUCUCAUUUGUCUAAGGUGAAAUCCCUGGGCUUAACCCAGGACGUGCCUUAGAAACGGUGAGACUAGGGUACUGGAGAGGUUUGUAGAAUUCCCGGUGUAGCGGUGAAAUGCGUAGAGAUCGGGAGGAAUACCAGAGGCGAAGGCGGCAAACUGGACAGUUACUGACACUCAACUCCGAAAGCGUGGGGAUCAAACAGGAUUAGAUACCCUGGUAGUCCACGCCGUAAACGAUGGGUACUUGAUUUUGCGGGACUUGACCCCUGCAGAGUCGGAGCUAACGCGUUAAGUACCCCGCCUGGGAAGUACGGUCGCAAGACUAAAACUCAAAGGAAUUGACGGGGGCCCGCACAAGCGGUGGAUCAUGUGGUUUAAUUCGAAGCAACGCGAAGAACCUUACCAGGAUUUGACAUUUCCGGACAUCUCUAGAGAUAGAGCUUUCGUAGCAAUACGACCGGAGGACAGGUGCUGCAUGGCUGUCGUCAGCUCGUG